UGGGGGAUAUUGCACAAUGGGCGAAAGCCUGAUGCAGCGACGCCGCGUGGGGGAUGAAGGCUUUCGGGUUGUAAACCUCUUUCGCUAUCGAACAAGGCCCGCUUAGGGUGGGUUGAGGGUAGGUGGAGAAGAAGCGCCGGCUAACUACGUGCCAGCAGCCGCGGUAAUACGUAGGGCGCGAGCGUUGUCCGGAAUUAUUGGGCGUAAAGGGCUUGUAGGCGGCUUGUUGCGCCUGCUGUGAAAACGCGGGGCUUAACUUCGCGCGUGCAGUGGGUACGGGCAGGCUUGAGUGUGAUAGGGGUGACUGGAAUUCCAGGUGUAGCGGUGGAAUGCGCAGAUAUCUGGAGGAGCACCGAUGGCGAAGGCAGGUCACUGGGCCAUUACUGACGCUGAGGAGCGAAAGCAUGGGUAGCGAACAGG
rnacentral:rRNA from 1 species